GGGCGGUUAGCUCAGUUGGUAGAGCAUCUCCUUACAAGGAGGAGGUCGUUGGUUCGAGCCCAAUACCGCCCACCA
rnacentral:tRNA from 1 species